rnacentral:rRNA from 1 species
UGGGGAAUAUUGGACAAUGGGCGAAAGCCUGAUCCAGCAAUGCCGCGUGUGUGAAGAAGGCCUUCGGGUUGUAAAGCACUUUAGGUCGGAAAGAAAAAGCUUUCUCUAAUACAGAGAGCCUUGACGGUACCGACAGAAUAAGCACCGGCUAACUCUGUGCCAGCAGCCGCGGUAAUACAGAGGGUGCAAGCGUUAAUCGGAUUUACUGGGCGUAAAGCGUGCGUAGGCGGUUUGUUAAGUCGGAUGUGAAAUCCCUGGGCUCAACCUGGGAACUGCAUUCGAUACUGGCAGGCUAGAAAACGGUAGAGGGAGGCGGAACUCCAGGUGUAGCAGUGAAAUGCGUAGAUAUCUGGAAGAACACCGAUGGCGAAGGCAACCUCCUGGGCCUGUUUUGACGCUGAGGCACGAAAGCGUGGGGAGCAAACAGGAUUAGAUACCCCCGUAGUCC